rnacentral:lncRNA from 1 species
GAUACAGUGAUGAAUUACACAGACAUUGACUGCAUCAGUUUGAUAUAAAUAAGUAACCCAUGUUACGAUGGAGAACCAUCUCCACUGCAUGCCUGAAAAGAACUCUACAACUCCUUUUAAUAUAUUUAAGCCCAUGAAGCGAUCUGUCAACUGGAUUUUUUUCCUUGGAGACCUCUCCAUCCUCCUGCUCUGAUCUGGAAGCAUUGCUCUCUAAGCCUGCUGCACUUUACGGUAAGAACAAGAAAUUUGGACACACAAAGAAAAGACACCAAGUGCACGAGUACCCAGAAGGACAACCAUGUGAAGAGGCAGUGAGAAGGUGCCACCUGCAAGCCCAGGAGAGAAGUUGC